UGGGGCAUAGCGUAGUUUGAUAACGUAUCAUCUUGGGACGAUGGAGGCCAUGGGUUCGAAUCUCGCUGCUCCAA
rnacentral:tRNA from 1 species